UAAGGAAUAUUGCUCAAUGGGAGAAAUCCUGAAGCAGCAACGCCGCGUGGAGGAUGAAGGGUCUAUGACUUGUAAACUCCUGUAAAGAAGGAAAAAAUUCCCAUUUGAUGGGAGAUGAUGGUACUUCUGGAGUAAGCCCCGGCUAACUACGUGCCAGCAGCCGCGGUAAUACGUAGGGGGCAAGCGUUGUCCGGAUUUACUGGGUGUAAAGGGUGCUCAGGCGGAUUUGUAAGUCAGAGGUGAAAUCUUACAGCUUAACGGUGAAACUGCCUUUGAUACUGCAAGCCUAGAGUAUGGAAGAGAGUGAUGGAAUAUCUGGUGUAGCAGUGAAAUGCGUAGAUAUCAGAUAGAACACCAAUGGCGAAGGCAGUCACUUGGUCCAUUACUGACGCUAAAGCACGAAAGCGUGGGUAGCAAACA
rnacentral:rRNA from 1 species